UUAGUAAACCGUCUUGUCGCGCAGACAUUAAUUGUCUUCGAGGAAAGUCCGGGCAACAAAGAGCAUCAUACUUCCUAACUGGAAGGAUUCGCCUUAGGCGAAUACAGCUAGUGCCGCAGAAAAUAUACCGCCUCGGCCGCAAGGUCAGGGUAAGGGUGAAAAGGUGAGCCCUCCUUUGUGAGGGAUAAAGCCACUUCGGUGGAUGAAAGUAAGAGCUCACCGCGCUCAAGGCGACUUGGGUGGCAGGGUAAACCUUAUGAGUUGCAACAUCAUGUAAACCAAGGCUUGAAGCUUGCUCGGCUGAACUUGGAGGGUAGAUGGAUUGAACCCCAGAGUGAUUUGGGGUCUAGAUAAAUGGCAAGAUUUUCAGACGCAAGUCUGGAAAACAGGACCCGGCUUAUAGGUUUAUUAUUUUU
rnacentral:RNase_P_RNA from 1 species